GGGUUAGAUGAAUCGGCACCCAUUGAAGUUCGAUUCUAUCGUUAAAAGGAAAUAUCAUCAUG
rnacentral:sRNA from 1 species